GUCCAGAGAUGGGAAUCGAACCCACAAUGUUCCGGUUACUGGGCAGAUGCCAUGUCCACUAAGCUACCCUGGA